CAGAUUCAUUCUUGUCAUGAGAACAAUACGACACAAGGCUCUCAGCUACAUAUGUAAUACAACUGAUAGAUCUUCAAAAGGAACCAUUGCAGGUUUAAAUGGCAAAACGAGACGACUACUUUUGAAUAUGCAUGUAAGCAUGUAUAUCGAGGUCGGGUCGACCCGCCUUUACAGUCACGUAUACCGACAGGUAAGCAAUCGAAUCGUUUGAACUUUAGCCGACGUUUCAGCAAUGGAAAAACACAACCUCUGGAGUAAUGGUCUAUACAUAGAUGUAGGUAAUGUUCAUGCGCAGUGUUAUCCUUCCAUAGCCUCUAUCGUCGUCAGUUGUAAACCAUAGCUACCUCUAAUAACAAGAGGUAUUUCGUACAGAGGAGAAACUAACUUAUCAACUGUGUUAUAUUGUUGAUAAGUACCAACAUUCUUCCGUGGUUACAACUGGGAAUGCUGCUUGCUGUUAGAAGCUUUGUUGAACCGAGAUAUAUAAGGAGUACAGGAUAAAGGAUAUAUGAGGAGUCAUGUUCAAGACACGAAGUUUUCAUAUGGCAAAUAAUUAUAUGCUUUUGGGACUGUUACCAGUCGUAAUAUUAGCAGUACACGCAGAUGCUACCAAGAUACAGAGUCCCAACUGUGCCAGACGGGGCAGUGGUCAGUGUGUGGAGUGUUACUACGGGUGGCAUGGCCGUGAGUGUGAGAGGG